rnacentral:ncRNA from 2 species
UUAGAGUGGCCCGGCCGUGGUGUUCGGGAAGACCGGUGCGGAGCCCCUGGCUCCGAUUCCGGCGCGGCCCUCGCCACUGUGAUCGGGGAGUUACCGUCCCGUUCCGCGCGUCCGAACGGGAUCCCCCGCCGGGCCGCGCGGAGCCACUGGCCGCAGCCGGCUGCCGGGAAGGCAGGGACGGGCGCGACGGACCCGUCAGCCAGGAGACCGGCCACGGCAUCUCACGAACG